rnacentral:rRNA from 1 species
GAUGAACGCUGGCGGCGUGCUUAACACAUGCAAGUCGAACGAUGAAGCCCAGCUUGCUGGGUGGAUUAGUGGCGAACGGGUGAGUAACACGUGAGUAACCUGCCCUUAACUCUGGGAUAAGCCUGGGAAACUGGGUCUAAUACCGGAUAGGAGCGUCCACCGCAUGGUGGGUGUUGGAAAGAUUUAUCGGUUUUGGAUGGACUCGCGGCCUAUCAGCUUGUUGGUGAGGUAAUGGCUCACCAAGGCGACGACGGGUAGCCGGCCUGAGAGGGUGACCGGCCACAAGGGGAGUAUGACACGGCGCGGUGGCAAGCCGGGGGCAGGAGUGGGGAAUAGUGGACGAUGGGCGGGAGGUGGAUGCCGCGAGCCGGCGGGGGAGAAGACGGACUGCGGGUUGUAAAACUCUUAGCGUAGGGAAGAAGCGAGAGGGACGGUACCUUAAGAAGAAGCACCGGCUAACUACGUG